GACAGAGGGUGUAAACGUUGUUCGGAAUUACUGGGCGUAAAGCGUGCGUAGGCGGUUUCUUAAGUCUGUCGUGAAAGCCCUGGGCUCAACCUGGGAACGGCGAUGGAUACUGGGAAGCUAGAAUGUGAGAGAGGUUGGUGGAAUUCUCGGUGUAGAGGUGAAAUUCGUAGAUAUCGAGAGGAACACCGGUGGCGAAGGCGGCCAACUGGACAGAUACUGACGCUGAGACACGAAAGCGUGGGGAGCAAACAGG
rnacentral:rRNA from 1 species